GUACGGCGAGUGAAGCGGCAAAAGCUCAAAUUUGAAAUCUGGUACCUUCGGUGCCCGAGUUGUAAUUUGGAGAGGGCAACUUUGGGGCCGUUCCUUGUCUAUGUUCCUUGGAACAGGACGUCAUAGAGGGUGAGAAUCCCGUGUGGCGAGGAGUGCGGUUCUUUGUAAAGUGCCUUCGAAGAGUCGAGUUGUUUGGGAAUGCAGCUCUAAGUGGGUGGUAAAUUCCAUCUAAAGCUAAAUAUUGGCGAGAGACCGAUAGCGAACAAGUACAGUGAUGGAAAGAUGAAAAGAACUUUGAAAAGAGAGUGAAAAAGUACGUGAAAUUGUUGAAAGGGAAGGGCAUUUGAUCAGACAUGGUGUUUUGUGCCCUCUGCUCCUUGUGGGUAGGGGAAUCUCGCAUUUCACUGGGCCAGCAUCAGUUUUGGUGGCAGGAUAAAUCCAUAGGAAUGUAGCUUGCCUCGGUAAGUAUUAUAGCCUGUGGGAAUACUGCCAGCUGGGACUGAGGACUGCGACGUAAGUCAAGGAUGCUGGCAUAAUGGUUAUAUGCCGCCCGUCUUGAAAC
rnacentral:rRNA from 1 species